CGGGCUCAGGGCGGGCUUCAGCGUCAUCAUUGGUCUACUAGUUCUAGAUUGACAGCUGCUCCUCUAGCCAAUCCGUCGAAGGGGGAGGUGACGUCACUCCAAUGCGACUCGUGGCGUGGCAGGCGUGUGAAGAUGGAUAAUCAGCAUCAGCAUCAGCAGGCAAAUGCCGGACAAUCUCAGACCGAGUACCCAGAUGUGCUUAGUGCAGCACAGAGCCUCAUCUCUGUGCUAACACAGACUCUUAAUCAGAGUCCUGUAACACCACGUCCACAAGUUCAAGUGCAGGGGCAGGGGCAGCAGACAGCGGUACAAGAAAGACAGACAAAUACCACCAUUGAUCAGGACAUGGCCAGGGCCUUUCCUAGCAUGUUCCGGAGACAUGCAAUCAGGGGGAAAAAAAGAAUAAAUGUAGCAUCCAGAACACAUACCAAGACUGCAAAAGCAUUUAAACCUUAUGAUUUAAAUGUAUAUCUUUUAGAUACAAAUUCUGAGACUACCCCUUCACCUGCACACGAACUCAAGCUUGUUCAAGCAGGGCUUGGCAAAAGGACUAUCUCAAUUGCAAUGGACAUGAUGCAUUCAGAGCACGUUGUAUGAAGCAUUCCCGAAAAUGGAGUGUUUGAGUGGAGGAUGGAUGCUUUAUAAGGCUAAUGGGGGGUGCGGUACAAGACGGAUAAACGUUAUUCCUCCAGACUCAGAAGGAUACACUGGAUCCCAAAUGAAAUCUGCCUCUGCAUCUGGAAAGACAAUGCUUUAUGUAGUUCCUCUACAAGAGGAACUGGACCUUAAUCCUCUCCCUAAUGAUGCCAGAGAAUUUACUAAAAUGCCAAAGGCAACUUGCCAAAUAUGCAACAAAAGCAUGCCCCUGCAAGUGCUGGCUCUCCACAUUCAGGUUUGCAAGUCAAAUGAUUCAACAUCUUCAGAUGAAGAGACAGAAGUUCAGUUCGUCUCAGAAAACAAUUUGGAUGAGAUGAAACAAGAAAAUUUUACAUCUGAGGCAAUGUGGCAUUAAAAUUCUACAGCCCUUAUCAAAAUUUUCUCUAAUCCAUGGUGCUAUUAUAUCAUUUAACAUUUUUUGUUUGUAGUCUGUUUUACCAUGCCCAAUAUGUCAGCUGAAGUUUCCUGUGGACAGUCUAGAACUACAUGCCAGCCUCUGUGGAGAAGAAAAUCUAUUGAAGAGUCCAGAUCACAGCUCUUUUAUGCACAAUGAUGAUUCUUGUAUUGCUGACGAUACAACAGGCAAUUCAAGCUGUCGACAAGUAUUAUGCCUUGAAGAUCUUCUGGAGCUGCUUGCUGGCCGAGUAAAUGCAGAGAAUCACUUCCGCAUUUGUGUUUCACGGGACAAUCUCCUAGAGAGGGGGAUCAAGCAGUGGCAAAGACAGAAAAAAGGAAAUCCAGCUAAAGAUAACCUUUAUUGGUGAAGCUGGAGUUGACUCUGGUGCUUUACGAAAGGAGUUUCUUACAGAAAUGAUCAGUGGCAUUGAAAAACGCCUCUUCUUGGGUCAGAGAGCAAAGAGUCCACAGUACUCCAACAGUGACCUUGACAAUGGUCUCUUCAGGACUGCUGGAGAGAUCUUUGCUGUCAGCCUAGCUCAAUGUGGCCCAGCCCCAUGUUUUAUGAGAGAGUGGUGCUACUCUUACCUCACCACUGGGGAAGUUGAUGUCACCAGAAUUUGCAAGGAUGAUGUAGAUGAUGUUGAAUACUCCCUAUUGAUCGCAAAGGUUGAAGAGGCAACUGAUCUGACUGAAUUCACAGAUGAAAUUAUCAGCUGUGGAUACACAGGAGCACUCAACAUAGAACAAAAAGAUGCCAUAAUUCGAGCAAUUGUUCUUCAUGCAGCAUUUCAAGUUACACCAAUGCUUGGAGACUUGCGUAAAGGGCUCUAGCUGUAUGGAUUGCUGGACAUAGUUAAGGACCAUCCAAGUCUUUGCAAGAGUCUGUUUGUUCCUGGGGAGGAUUGUACAUGUGCGCUGAAGAUGCAGCAGAAGUAGAAACUGAGCCAUCAUCCUACCUCACUGUCCCUAGAGUCAUGCAGUGGAUUACAGGCCAGGGACAUAAGCCACUACUGCUUUCGGAACAGAAGUCUUUUCAGAUAGUUUUUAAAUUUGAUCAUGACUGUAAAGUCAGAAUGCCACAGCACACCAUAUGCUACCCAAUAGUGAGCGCUUGCACUAAUACAGUAACUUUUCCAGUAGCACACAUGACAACAUAUGAAGACUUUAAAUGCAUCAUUGUACAAGCCAUAAAAUCAGGGGGAACAUUUAGCAGGGUUUGAAUAUCAUGUAGUGCUGGAUUUGAGUUGAUUUCUUACAGUUUAACAUUUCCUAUCUCAACCCGUUGGAGGUCUGCAGUACUUUUCUAUCUACAUUAAGAUACUUGUUGAAUUUUCUAUAGUGAAAUGUUUUAAAAGUUAGUGCUGUUUCUGUAGUUUAUAUCUGAUUUAAGAUAUGUAACUUGCAUUUGCAGUUCAAAUUGUUCAAAUCAAGCCGCUCUGUUGCAGAGCUUGCCUUAACUGAUUUUAUAUCUGUUUUAAGGUACUGAUGUUGCAUUUCAUUUAUAAGUUACAUGUUUUCCAAGAGAACCUUGAUUUAUAGGUUUG